UGCAGUAAAAAGAACUCUUUAUAAAUAGCUAUCACCAAGUGUAUAGAUUGCUAACAUAAGACAUCUGCUCAAAUAAUUUGAACUUAAGCAAAUCUUAUGAGGCUAGGAAAAUAGUGUCAUCUUGACCAACAAAUACGACUAUAAGCAUGCAGAGUAUAAAAUAAGGAGCUGCUGAACAUUUAACAUUAAAUUAGAGGCCAACACAGAAGAAUACAGUAGCAGACUUAUCAUUUUACACACUAUAAGGAAACUUGUAUAUCAAUUUCAGGCCUAGAUCUACUAAUUCUAAGUAGAAUAAGAAACUAGAAAAAAGAAGUAAAAAGAAUAAAAAGCUUGAAAGAACAUAAGAAUUAAGAACUGAAUAUGACUGAUUCCAUCAAUUUCACAAUACUCAUAUAUCCUCCACAUAGGCAUGCUUCAUAUCCAAUUUAUAGUCCAAGGUUCAAAAGAGGUACCUGAUUGCAAUGAAUCAAAGAAAAAUCAGAAAAUAAAUCUCUGAAAGUGCAGAAUAUCAACAGGAAAAUAACUUCAAUUCAACAGCAAAAUCCCAGCAGCUCAACAAAGAAAAAUACAGAAAACAAAUGAAACAAAGGCAAGGCUAAACCUCUGUUUUUUAUUUAUUUAUUUUAUUUAAAAAAUAUGUAUUUUUUAACUUCUUUGAGGUGAGAAGAUGCAUGAAAAAGAAAUCAGAGAUGAAAGAGGAGUCAAUUUGUGUGUGAGAUGAGGUAAUAUCUCUCUGAAAAAUGCAGAAUGAAUAGUGUCUAAAAAUGCAGAAAUCCCUGUGGAGAAGAGAGUCAAUCCUCUUCAAAAUGCAGAUCGGAAUGUGUGUUAUAUGAGAGAAUGAGAGAUGGCGUAGGAGAAUCUGUCAGCCCCUAAAAAAAGGGGGAAAAUAUCUUUUUAACAGAUUUUGGACAGCUGUCCUAUUCCAAUUAUUCUUUUCUUUCUCUUUACGCAUUUUUACUUUCUGUAUUUACUCUUCAAUCCUAACACCUAGCAAUUUAAUUUUUUUUUAUUGCAAAUUAGCCACUCCUAGAAGCUUCCUAAAUAACUAACUAAGAUUCCCAAACCUUCAUACCCUCUUAGCCCCCUUACGUUUCUAUUCUUACAGAUUUUGCUCCUAAAGCCAGCUUGAAUUGGGCCUAAUUCUGAGCCUUGUUCCUAGCCCAAUCUACACUCCUAGGUCUAAAGCAAAAAUUAAUCAGAUCUCACAAAGCUUGUGCAUCACUAAUUGAAUUUUGGAAUUCAUUCAAAAUCAGAAUUUGAUCUCUAAUAGACUAGAAACUUAGAAUUAACAGAGUUCAAAGGCGAAGACAAAAUUAAACACACAUAGGCAUGCUCAGAAACUAAUCAACAAAAAACAGCAAAUUCAGACUAGAUUAGAAUCAUCAAACCAAACCAACCUAAAAUGUAAUUAACCUAAUUCAAAAUUGUAAUCAAUUAUCCAACAAAAUAUGCAAAUCAGGUUUAUUAACUAAUGCGUAAUCACACACAAAAAAAGCUAAUUAACAUUUCUGGCAUCAAUAACCAACUAAACUGUCAUGAAGAGAAAGGAGAACGAGAUGUACCUAGACGGAACUCGAAUUGGAAUGACAAGGUUUCAAGGGCUCUGAUUGGUCAGCAACUGAUUGACCAAAAUCCGACGGCUUCGGAAUGAACCAAAACCAACGUCAAUCAAUUGUUCUUGUUAAGAACAAUCGAUCGACGUAGGUUCUAGGUCAAAACGAGUUGAAAUCGCCAAAGAAAUCAGAAAAGAGGAAAAGAUAGGUUUUCUGGAAUUUAGAUCUAAAAAUCGGGGAACCCUAGGGUGUUUUGGAGGAAAUUAAGAGGAAAUAUAGGAUGAGGAGGAGGUGGGGAUUGUCGGGCGAAGAUUUGGGGGUGUUUGGAGUGGUGCCUCCACCGUGGGCGAUUUCCGGCUACGGCUUUGGGCGGAGGAUGAGAGAGAGGAGAAGAAGGUAUCUAGGAAGGGUUUUGGGGGUAGGGGUUCUUGAUUCAGACAGUUAUAAGGGAAUGGGGAAUUGAGUUCCUGGCCGUUGGAUCAACAUUGAGGGACGGCUAAGAUUUGAUCUAAUCAACCUAAUCUAAAAUGACGUCGUUUGGUUGUUGAAAAGGCUGGACCGAUUUUGGAGUGGACUGGGG
rnacentral:lncRNA from 1 species